rnacentral:rRNA from 1 species
GACGAACGCUGGCGGCGUGCUUAACACAUGCAAGUCGAACGGAAAGGCCCUGCUUUUGUGGGGUGCUCGAUUGGCGAACGGGUGAGUAACACGUGAGUAACCUGCCCUUGACUUUGGGAUAACUUCAGGAAACUGGGGCUAAUACCGGAUAUGAGCUCCUGCUGCAUGGUGGGGGUUGGAAAGUUUCGGCGGUUGGGGAUGGACUCGCGGCUUAUCAGCUUGUUGGUGGGGUAGUGGCUUACCAAGGCUUUGACGGGUAGCCGGCCUGAGAGGGUGACCGGCCACAAUGGGACUGAGAUACGGCCCAGACUCCUACGGGAGGCAGCAGUGGGGAAUAUUGCACAAUGGGCGGAAGCCUGAUGCAGCAACGCCGCGUGCGGGAUGACGGCCUUCGGGUUGUAAACCGAUUUCGCCUGUGACGAAGCGUGAGUGACGGUAAUGGGUAAAGAAGCAACGGCUAACUACGUG